rnacentral:rRNA from 1 species
GUUCGGAUUCACUGGGCGUAAAGGGGGCGUAGGCGGUCGGGUAAGUCUGAUGUGAAAUCUCACAGCUUAACUGUGAAACUGCAUUGGAUACUAUUCGGCUUGAGAGUUGGAGGGGGGACUGGAAUUCUUGGUGUAGCAGUGAAAUGCGUAGAUAUCAAGAGGAACACCAGUGGCGAAGGCGAGUCCCUGGACAACUUCUGACGCUGAGGCACGAAAGCUAGGGGAGCAAACAGG